rnacentral:rRNA from 1 species
GACGAACGCUGGCGGCGUGCUUAACACAUGCAAGUCGAACGGAAAGGCCCUGCUUUUGUGGGGUGCUCGAGUGGCGAACGGGUGAGUAACACGUGAGUAACCUGCCCUUGACUUUGGGAUAACUUCAGGAAACUGGGGCUAAUACCGGAUAGGAGCUCCUGCUGCAUGGUGGGGGUUGGAAAGUUUCGGCGGUUGGGGAUGGACUCGCGGCUUAUCAGCUUGUUGGUGGGGUAGUGGCUUACCACGGCUUUGACGGGUAGCCGGCCUGAGAGGGUGACCGGCCACAUUGGGACUGGGAUACGGCCCAGACUCCUACGGGAGGCAGCAGUGGGGAAUAUUGCACAAUGGGCGGAAGCCUGAUGCAGCAACGCCGCGUGCGGGAUGACGGCCUUCGGGUUGUAAACCGCUUUCGCCUGUGACGAAGCGUGAGUGACGGUAAUGGGUAAAGAAGCACCGGCUAACUACGUG